UUGAACGCUGGCGGCAUGCUUUACACAUGCAAGUCGAACGGCAGCGGGGGCUUCGGCCUGCCGGCGAGUGGCGAACGGGUGAGUAAUGCAUCGGAACGUACCCAGUCGUGGGGGAUAACUACGCGAAAGCGUGGCUAAUACCGCAUACGCCCUGAGGGGGAAAGCGGGGGACCUUCGGGCCUCGCGCGAUUGGAGCGGCUGAUGUCGGAUUAGCUAGUUGGUGGGGUAAAGGCCUACCAAGGCGACGAUCCGUAGCUGGUCUGAGAGGAUGAUCCGCCACACUGGGACUGAGACACGGCCCAGACUCCUACGGGAGGCAGCAGUGGGGAAUUUUGGACAAUGGGGGCAACCCUGAUCCAGCCAUGCCGCGUGCGGGAAGAAGGCCUUCGGGUUGUAAACCGCUUUCGGACGGAAAGAAAUCGCAUGGACUAAUACUCUGUGUGGAUGACGGUACCGUAAGAAGAAGCACCGGCUAACUACGU
rnacentral:rRNA from 1 species